UAGGGAAUCUUCGGCAAUGGGGGGAACCCUGACCGAGCAACGCCGCGUGAGUGAAGAAGGUUUUCGGAUCGUAAAGCUCUGUUGUUAAGGAAGAACGAGUGUGAGAAUGGAAAGUUCAUACUGUGACGGUACUUAACCAGAAAGGGACGGCUAACUACGUGCCAGCAGCCGCGGUAAUACGUAGGUCCCGAGCGUUGUCCGGAUUUAUUGGGCGUAAAGCGAGCGCAGGCGGUUAGAUAAGUCUGAAGUUAAAGGCAGUGGCUCAACCAUUGUAGGCUUUGGAAACUGUUUAACUUGAGUGCAGAAGGGGAGAGUGGAAUUCCAUGUGUAGCGGUGAGAUGCGUAGAUAUAUGGAGGAACACCGGUGGCGAAAGCGGCUCUCUGGUCUGUAACUGACGCUGAGGCUCGAAAGCGUGGGGAACGAACAGG
rnacentral:rRNA from 1 species